CCCUUAGAUGUUCUGGGCCGCACGCGCGCAACACUGAUGCAUUCAACGAGCCUAUCCUUGACCGACAGGUCCGGGUAAUCUUUGAAUCUGCAUCGUGACGGGGAUAGAUUAUUGCAAUUAUUAAUCUUCAACGAGGAAUGCCUAGUAGGCGCAAGUCAUCAGCUUGCGUCGAUUACGUCCCUGCCCUUUGUACACACCGCCCGUCGCUCCUACCGAUUGGGUGUGCUGGUGAAAUGUUCGGAUCGGCCGUUUGUCGCGGUUUCCGCGUCAUGUGGCUGAGAAGUUCAUUAAACCCUCCCACCUAGAGGAAGGAGAAGUCGUAACA
rnacentral:rRNA from 1 species